rnacentral:misc_RNA from 1 species
AAAGUCGUAACAAGGUUUCCGUAGGUGAACCUGCGGAAGGAUCAUUUAAAAUAUUUGUUAUAACAAACAAAUAACAAUUGUGCAACUGUUUUAUUUUAAAACUAUCAUAAGAUAUAAUAACAACAAAGUCUUAACUGACACAAACAAAAAAUACAACUUUUAACAAUGGAUCUCUUGGCUCUU